rnacentral:rRNA from 1 species
UACGUAGGGUGCGAGCGUUGUCCGGAAUUAUUGGGCGUAAAGGGCUCGUAGGCGGUUUGUCGCGUCGGGAGUGAAAACCCAGGGCUUAACCCUGGGCCUGCUUCCGAUACGGGCAGACUAGAGGUAUGCAGGGGAGAACGGAAUUCCUGGUGUAGCGGUGAAAUGCGCAGAUAUCAGGAGGAACACCGGUGGCGAAGGCGGGUCUCUGGGCAACAACUGACGCUGAGGAGCGAAAGCGUGGGGAGCGAACAGG